UACGUAGGGUGCGAGCGUUAAUCGGAAUUACUGGGCGUAAAGCGUGCGCAGGCGGUGAUGUAAGACAGAUGUGAAAUCCCCGGGCUCAACCUGGGAACUGCAUUUGUGACUGCAUCGCUAGAGUACGGCAGAGGGGGAUGGAAUUCCGCGUGUAGCAGUGAAAUGCGUAGAUAUGCGGAGGAACACCGAUGGCGAAGGCAAUCCCCUGGGCCUGUACUGACGCUCAUGCACGAAAGCGUGGGGAGCAAACAGG
rnacentral:rRNA from 1 species